rnacentral:rRNA from 1 species
CCUACGGGGGGCAGCAGUGGGGAAUAUUGGGCAAUGGGCGCAAGCCUGACCCAGCAACGCCGCGUGAAGGAUGAAGGUUUUCGGAUUGUAAACUUCUGUCGCGAGGGACGAAGAAUGACGGUACCUCGUAAGAAAGCCCCGGCUAACUACGUGCCAGCAGCCGCGGUAAUACGUAGGGGGCAAGCGUUGUCCGGAAUGACUGGGCGUAAAGGGAGUGUAGGCGGCCUUGCAAGUUAGAUGUGAAAUCCUACGGCUUAACCGUAGAACUGCAUCUAAAACUGUGAGGCUGGAGUGCAGGAGAGGUGAGUGGAAUUCCUAGUGUAGCGGUGGAAUGCGUAGAUAUUAGGAGGAACACCAGAGGCGAAGGCGACUCACUGGACUGUAACUGACGCUGAGGCUCGAAAGCGUGGGGAGCAAACAGGAUUAGAUACCCGAGUA